UUUCCGUAGGUGAACCUGCGGAAGGAUCAUUAUUGUAUAACCGAGGUGCGAGGGUUGUCGCUGACCCGAAAGGGCGUGCACGCCCGAGUGCCCUCACACGCUUCCAUCUCACCCCUAUGUGCACCACCGCGUGGGUCCCCCUUUGGCUUGUUCGGAGGGGGGCUUACGUUUUCACACAAACUUUGUAUGCAGUGUAGAAUGUAUUUUUUGUUUUUGCGAUCACGCAAUCAAUACAACUUUCAACAACGGAUCUCUUGGCUCUC
rnacentral:misc_RNA from 1 species